AGCGAACGCUGGCGGCAGGCUUAACACAUGCAAGUCGAGCGGGCACUUCGGUGUCAGCGGCAGACGGGUGAGUAACGCGUGGGAACGUGCCCUUCGGUUCGGAAUAACUCAGGGAAACUUGAGCUAAUACCGGAUACGCCCUUUUGGGGAAAGGUUUAUCUGCCGAAGGAUCGGCCCGCGUCUGAUUAGCUUGUUGGUGAGGUUAUGGCUCACCAAGGCGACGAUCGGUAGCUGGUCUGAGAGGAUGAUCAGCCACACUGGGACUGAGACACGGCCCAGACUCCUACGGGAGGCAGCAGUGGGGAAUAUUGGACAAUGGGGGCAACCCUGAUCCAGCCAUGCCGCGUGAGUGAUGACGGCCUUAGGGUUGUAAAGCUCUUUUCUCCGGGACGAUAAUGACGGUACCGGAGGAAUAAGCCCCGGCUAACUUCGUGCCAGCAGCAGCCGCCG
rnacentral:rRNA from 1 species